rnacentral:tRNA from 1 species
CAAAUUAGAGCUUGAUUUUAAGUAUUUCAUUUACAUUGAAAAGAUAUUAUAUUUAAUUAAUUUGA